rnacentral:rRNA from 1 species
GACCCGUCUUGAAACACGGACCAAGGAGUCUAACAUGUGCGCGAGUCACGGGGUCUUGAUCAGGCCCAGAGGCGCAAUGAAAGUGAAGGUCGGGUUCUCGACCCGACUGCGUUGGGAUUCGUCCCGCGGGCCCGGUCCGGUCAAAAAGACAAGGUCCGCGGGCGAAGCACCAACGACCCGUCCUAUCCGAUUCAUCGGUUGGGCGGAGUCUGAGCGUACACGUUGGGACCCGAAAGAUGGUGAACUAUGCCUGGGCAGGACGAAGCCAGAGGAAACUCUGGUGGAGGUCCGUAGCGGUUCUGACGUGCAAAUCGAUCGUCAGACCCGGGUAUAGGGGCGAAAGACCAAUCGAACCAUCUAGUAGCUGGUUCCCUCCGAAGUUUCCCUCAGGAUAGCUGGCGCUCGGAGGAAUCAGUCUCAUCCGGUAAAGCGAAUGAUUAGAGGCCUUGGGGCCGAAACGACCUCAACCUAUUCUCAAACUUUAAAUGGGUGAGAAGUCCGGCUUGCAUGACUGAAGCCCGGACGUCUUUUCGGAUGUGAGCGCCCAGUGGGCCACUUUUGGUAAGCAGAACUGGCGCUGUGGG